CCUACGGGCGGCUGCAGUGAGGAAUAUUGGUCAAUGGACGAGAGUCUGAACCAGCCAAGUAGCGUGAAGGAUGACUGCCCUAUGGGUUGUAAACUUCUUUUAUAUGGGAAUAAAAUGUUCCACGUGUGGGAUUUUGUAUGUACCAUAUGAAUAAGGAUCGGCUAACUCCGUGCCAGCAGCCGCGGUAAUACGGAGGAUCCGAGCGUUAUCCGGAUUUAUUGGGUUUAAAGGGAGCGUAGGUGGAUUGUUAAGUCAGUUGUGAAAGUUUGCGGCUCAACCGUAAAAUUGCAGUUGAAACUGGCAGUCUUGAGUACAGUAGAGGUGGGCGGAAGUCGUGGUGUAGCGGUGAAAUGCUUAGAUAUCACGAAGAACUCCGAUUGCGAAGGCAGUUCACUGGACUGCAACUGACACUGAGGCUCGAAAGUGUGGGUAUCAAACAGGAUUAGAUACCCGUGUAGUC
rnacentral:rRNA from 1 species